AUGAUGGACUAUAGGACAGGACUGCUGCUUCUAACUAUCUGCUGGACAGGUGUUGAUGGUCAGACUCUGACAGAAUCUGACCCAGCAGUUAAAAAGCCUGGAGAAUCUCACAAACUGACCUGUACAACAUCUGGAUUGUCAUUCAGUAGCUACUGGAUGGCCUGGAUCAGACAGGCUCCUGGAAAAGGACUGGAGUGGAUUGCUACUGAUGGUGGUGGUAGCACCAAAUACUACUCUCAGUCAGUUCAAGGCCGGUUCACCAUCUCCAGAGACGACAGCAGAGAGCAGCUGUAUCUGCAGAUGAACAGUCUGAAGACUGAAGAUUCUGCUGUUUAUUAUUGUGCUCGACACUCACAGUGA